rnacentral:rRNA from 1 species
GUUCUGACCAAAUCUCGUGCCAGCAGUCGCGGUAAAACGAGGGGAGCAAACGUUAAUUGGAAGAAUAGGUCUAAAGGGUCCGAAGGUGACUAUAUAAAAAUAUAGUUAGAGUGGUAUAUAUAAGUUUGAAGAAUAUUCAAAAUAAGAGAUAAAAUGUGUAACUUGAAUAGACUGCAGAGUCGAAGGGCUCAAACUGAAUAUCAACUGACACUACAGGACGAAGGCUAGGGUAGCAAGCCGGAUUCGAUACCCGAGUUAGUCCUAGCAGACAACGAUGAGUGCUAUUUUUACAAAAUGAAAAAUCAUUAAACAAGUAAAAAAAAGUGAAGACAAAAGCAUUCCACCUGAAGAGUAAAUUCGCAAGGAUGAAAUUCAAGACAUUAGGCGGUUACAGACUCAAGCAGUGAAGCAU